AUUGAACGCUGGCGGCAGGCUUAACACAUGCAAGUCGAGCGGUAACAGAGAGAAGCUUGCUUCUCUGCUGACGAGCGGCGGACGGGUGAGUAAUGCCUAGGAAUCUGCCUAGUAGUGGGGGAUAACUUGCCGAAAGGUAAGCUAAUACCGCAUACGUCCUACGGGAGAAAGGAGGGGACCUUCGGGCCUUUCGCUAUUAGAUGAGCCUAGGUCGGAUUAGUUAGUUGGUGAGGUAAUGGCUCACCAAGACCGCGAUCCGUAACUGGUCUGAGAGGAUGAUCAGUCAAACUGGAACUGAGACACGGUCCAGACUCCUACGGGGGGCAGCAGUGGGGAAUAUUGGACAAUGGGGGGAACCCUGAUCCAGCCGUGCCGCGUGUGUGAAGAAGGUCUUAGGAUUGUAAAGCACUUUAAGUUGGGAGGAAGAGCAGUUAACUAAUAUUUGACUGUUUUGACGUUACCGACAGAAUAAGCACCGGCUAACUUCGUGCCAGCCGCCGCAGUAA
rnacentral:rRNA from 1 species